GUCGAACGGUAACAGGAAGCAGCUUGCUGCUUUGCUGACGAGUGGCGGACGGGUGAGUAAUGUCUGGGAAACUGCCUGAUGGAGGGGGAUAACUACUGGAAACGGUAGCUAAUACCGCAUAACGUCGCAAGACCAAAGAGGGGGACCUUCGGGCCUCUUGCCAUCGGAUGUGCCCAGAUGGGAUUAGCUAGUAGGUGGGGUAACGGCUCACCUAGGCGACGAUCCCUAGCUGGUCUGAGAGGAUGACCAGCCACACUGGAACUGAGACACGGUCCAGACUCCUACGGGAGGCAGCAGUGGGGAAUAUUGCACAAUGGGCGCAAGCCUGAUGCAGCCAUGCCGCGUGUAUGAAGAAGGCCUUCGGGUUGUAAAGUACUUUCAGCGGGGAGGAAGGCGAUAAGGUUAAUAACCUUGUCGAUUGACGUUACCCGCAGAAGAAGCACCGGCUAACUCCGUGCCAGCAGCCGCGGUAAUACGGAGGGUGCAAGCGUUAAUCGGAAUUACUGGGCGUAAAGCGCACGCAGGCGGUCUGUCAAGUCGGAUGUGAAAUCCCCGGGCUCAACCUGGGAACUGCAUUCGAAACUGGCAGGCUAGAGUCUUGUAGAGGGGGGUAGAAUUCCAGGUGUAGCGGUGAAAUGCGUAGAGAUCUGGAGGAAUACCGGUGGCGAAGGCGGCCCCCUGGACAAAGACUGACGCUCA
rnacentral:rRNA from 1 species